AGGUACUCCUGAGUCUCGUCACGGAUGGCGGCGAUAGGGAUAACGGUUGGUUGGCACAGCCAUCGGUGUGCUUGUUCGAUUCAGAGAGCGGUGCGUUUGUACCGCGAGAACAGGUUACGUCGUAGACCUUAAUAUCCCAACUGCGGUCGGGAUUCCUGCGUCUUCAGGCGCGGGA
rnacentral:ncRNA from 1 species